GCGGGCGUGGCGAAAUUGGCAGACGCGUAUGGUUCAGGUCCAUAUGGGGCAACCCAUUGGAGGUUCAAAUCCUCUCGCCCGCACCA
rnacentral:tRNA from 1 species